rnacentral:lncRNA from 1 species
GUUUGUUGAAAGUUUGGAAAGUUCAUCUGAAAAUCACAAUGUUUCUUUCAAUGUUGAUUCUGGAUGUAAUUUGAGACAAAAACCAAUUAGUGAUCAAUUGAAGUGUACAAUACUUUUAAAAUUAGCACUGUUAGAACUGCCUUGUUGUUUAAUAGCCCUGUCUUAUUUAUCCCAGCACACUCCUAAUACAUGAGUUUGAUUAUUCCUGGAUACAAAUGAAAUGGAUUUGUUGAGGAACAAGGCAGUUCUAUACAGUACUGACUUAUAGGAGGGUUGUGUUCUUCAGUUGUUUUUUAUUCUUGUGCCAACCAUAUUGUGGUUUUAAACAAAAUUUGAAUUUCGAAAACAAACUUUGUGAUUUUUACAAAAAACUUUUCCAACUUUAAAAUAAACAGGGUCGAAAUAAGCUAGGAUAUUGUAUUUACUUCAUUACAAAGUGGAACUUAUUGGAAUAUGGAUGAACUGAAGCAGCAAACUAUACUUAUUUUUUUGGGGAGGGGGGGAGGUGGGGAGGUAAUGUGAGAUUGAAAAAAUGAAAG